rnacentral:tRNA from 1 species
GGCCUCGUAGCUCAGCUGGGUAGAGCGUGCGCUGUACAAAAGUGUAGGUGGUGUCCAUGCGUGGAUUCGAAUCCCACCGAGGCUA